rnacentral:rRNA from 2 species
CAAAUGACUCUCGGCAAUGGAUAUCUCGGCUCUUGCAUCGAUGAAGAACGUAGUGAAAUGUGAUACUUGGUGUGAAUUGCAGAAUCUCGUGAACCAUUGAGUCUUUGAACGCAAGUUGUGCCCGAGGCCUUGUGGCCGAGGGCACGCCUGCUUGGGCGUCAUGG